rnacentral:misc_RNA from 1 species
GUAGAAAUCAGCUUUUGCAAAGUCACUUCUUGUGAAGUAAAGCCAGCAAGCUGAAGGAACGCCAUCUCUACCGCAUCGUCCACUUUCCUGGUAGUAAGACUCCAGACUCUUUGGGCAGCCGUAGUGUAUCACAUACCUUACGUUUGGUUUAUCUAUACCCAUGCCAAAAGCAACAGUUGCAACCAUGACAUAGAAUUCAUCUCUGAUAAAUGACCUAUGAGCCUCCUCACGUGCUUUAUUAGCCACUUGACCAUGGUAGAUACCAGCUUUGAUUCCUGCCUCAAGAAGUGAUUUGAAGAUCUCUUCAGUGUCUUUGACAGUUGUACAAUAUACUAUUGUUGAAUUUGCAUUAUCUACAUAUUUAGAGAUCUCCUCCACCAGCUGAUCAACAAAUUGAGAACUACGACUAAAAGAUUUGACUCCGUAAAAAAGAUUUUUGCGAUCAAAUGAGCCAAUAGCAACAUGAUGGUCUUUCAUCAGCAAGGAGUUCAUAAUGUCACUCCGAACUUUUUCUGUAGCAGUUGCUGUCAAGCCAACAAAUGGAACAUUCAAAAGAACAUUACGCAGCUUGUCCAAUUGCUUAUAUUCAACCCUGAAAUCAUGACCCCAUUCUGAGAUGCAGUGUGCUUCAUCAACAGCCAAGAGACACAUCCCUGCUUUCAACAAUCUUGACCAGAAACUGAUAGGAAGAGCACAAGCCUUUUCUGGAGUCAUAUAGAGAAU